AUGUCUAAUGGUAAACCAAGGGAUGGCACUAAAACCCUGCAAAAUGAGGCAUUUUGGUGCUUAAAUGGGAGAUGGUGAAUGUAGCUGCCGCUUUCACUCUGGGGAACUGCCAGAUCCUGGGGAGCAGAGGCCACUGCAGAUGCAACAACAUUCCUACUCAGCAGCCCUUGGGGCAUGGCUUGCUCGCCCAUGUGAGCACCUUCAACACAGUGACCUCUUAAACCUACUGCAGAGCCCACACUGUUUGAUUUGGACUCAUCUUGCAGCGCUCCUGAACUGUUCAGGUUAAAGCAUGGUUUUUCCAACUCUAACUUGAAAUCACAUCCACAGAUUGCCAAAAAGAACUGUUUAGGGCUUAGAUCUGAAAGACCAUGGGCUGAACAUUCCCUUCCUUCCUGAGACCCCUGAAGAACCAUCUGCACAAGAAAGCUGAAAGACUUCAUUUCUGAGAUGUUGGUGGAAUGGCAAGAGUAUUAGAGAGAAGUAUUUGAUAAAUACACUUGCCUUUCUCUUACUGUUGUUAGAGUGUCACUUGUGUUCUGUUCUUUUCUGUUGUUUUUUUUUUUUUACUUCUGUUUUGUUUUCUCCUCUGUGCAGCUCUUACUUGAUGCAAUUUAGGUAAGUCCUGGGUUACUGGCUGUAAACAGUGCAUUAUAACAUGGAGACAAACAGUUGGAAUUUACCUUUCUCAGCAUCAGGCUUGAUCACUGUGUUAACCUCAGUGUUCAGCUUCUUGAUGGCCUGUUUGAUCUGGUAUUCUUUGGUCUUGGCAUCAACAGUGGAUGCCAAGUGGUGGUACUGGCUGUUCCCCAGCUAACUCUGGUCACAAAGAACCUGAACUCAGCCUCUUUUUAAUAUCUGUUCCCACCUCUGUCAAAACAUUUUCUGUUGAACAGAAUUUCUCCUUUUUCUUCACUGCCCUAGCUGUGGUUAGCAUUUUAGCCUGUAAUUACUUCUGGAUGCUUUGUGAAAUCAUUUUUUAUAUAUUCAUGCCUAUAAUAAAUUAAAAUAGAUGGAAGAAUU